GGCGCUAUAGCCAAGUGGUUACGGCGACAGAUUCGAACAUCGCCCUGUGCGAGAGGCGAUCAUCUGUUCCUCUUUGAGGGCGCAGGUUCAAAUCCUGCUGGCGUCG